CCUACGGGAGGCAGCAGUGAGGAAUAUUGGUCAAUGGGCGCGAGCCUGAACCAGCCAAGUCGCGUGAGGGAAGACGGCCCUACGGGUUGUAAACCUCUUUUGCCGGGGAGCAACGGGCGCCACGUGUGGCGCCACUGAGAGUACCCGGAGAAAAAGCAUCGUCUAACUCCGUGCCAGCAGCCGCGGUAAUACGGAGGAUGCGAGCGUUAUCCGGAUUUAUUGGGUUUAAGGGGUGCGUAGGCGGAGCGUUAAGUCAGUGGGAAAAUGGAGGGGCUAAACCCCGUACCGCCAUUGAAACUGGCGCUCUUGAGUGGAAGAGAAGUAUGCGGAAUGCGUGGUGUAGCGGUGAAAUGCAUAGAUAUCACGCAGAACCCCGAUUGCGAAGGCAGCAUGCCGGCUUCCGACUGACGCUGAAGCACGAAAGCGUGGGGAUCGAACAGGAUUAGAUACCCUAGUAGUC
rnacentral:rRNA from 1 species